rnacentral:lncRNA from 1 species
CUCUGCCGACAACAAUCAUCAAGCUCAUGGCCAAUUCCGAAGAAUCCACUGCCUACACGUGUCUCGGUACUGCCGGACGCCUACGGGACUAUAAUGAGCUGGCCAGAUAAGCUUGGUUGCCACGUAUAUGUUUAAUUUUCACCUUAGAAAAUUCAUCCUUGUUGAAAUCUGCCACAUGAUCCUGUACAGGUUGUACGAUCCGUUGUGAUUUGAUGCUCAAUUGCUUACAUUAUAUUUCUAGAUUUUCACCGCCAAAGUGGGAAGUAGAUGGAUAGGCACAUUAACAAACGCACGCGUUUCUCUUGGUGAAGCUUUUGUUUCCCUCUUCCAGUAAGGAUGACGGCCGA